rnacentral:rRNA from 1 species
GAUGAACGCUGGCGGCGUGCCUAAUACAUGCAAGUCGAGCGAACAGACGAUGAGCUUGCUCCGCGCACGUGAGCGGAGGACGGGUGAGAAACACGUGUAUAACGUACCUAUAAUACUGGUAUAACUUCGGGAAACCGGAGCUAAUAGCGGAUGAUAUAUUGAACCGCAUGGUUCAAUAGUGAGAGACGGCUGUGGGGUCACGACUAGAGGGUUCUGCGCCGCAUUGGCGGGUUGGUGAGUUAAAGGGUUACGAAGGGUACGAUGCGUGGCCGACGUGAGAGGGUGGUCGGCCACACUGGAACUGGGACACGGUCCAGGGGCCUACGGUAGGCAGCAGUAGGGAAUCGUCCGCAGUGGGCGGAAGCCUGACGGAGCAACGCCGCGUGAGUGAUGACGGCCUCGGGUUCGUAAAACUGUGUUAUUAGGGAAGAACAGAUUUGUAAUUAACUGUACACGUCUUGACGGUAACUAAUAAGAAAGCCCCGGCUAACUACGUG